rnacentral:misc_RNA from 1 species
AACCUAGCACACCUGCGGUGUGUACCUGCGGAAGGAUCAUUACCAAUUAUAUAUGUUAGUUUGCCUGUGGCUUCGGUCACUGGUAUUAACUACUAUGUAAACGUUGAACUAGAUCAAUUGGUGUGGAUUGCUUGGGAAUGGACGAAGCGACAAGCCUCUUCCGGACAGGCAAGCCCCACACUGAUAACCUUUUUCAUAUCAUUUACUCGUAUAUACUACCACAACAAAAAAAAACAAAAG